CUAUCUAAUCUUUUUACUCUUUCAUCCGAGUCCUCUCCUCAGGCGCCUGGAUUCAUUCACCCUUGUUAUUCUCCGCACUUCUUCCAAAUUGCCUGUGCUUCCCUAGGAACCAAGGUGGCGGGAACACAGCCUGAGGGGCCAGGUGCUACUCAGCAAGAACUGGCCACAGAGGAACUGUUACUCCGUGCCCUUCUGCACAGGCAGCCUCAGCCUGGACUUCCCUUUCAUCCUGCCAGACUGCCUGUCUGCCCUGAAUUUAAUUUGCGACCGCUGUGCCCCCUGGGCCUACUUGGGCAUCACCGCGUUCUGGUGUCGCCUUCCCUGAAAACAGCUCUAUGUUUGGAUUCUCUUCCCCCAGGUGUAUUCACUGCCUUGCCUUUUUCAAAUGCUCACAAAGUUAUUAUUCCCAGCCUACAUCCCUCAAGUCUCAAAGGUUGUUUGCAUUUUAUUUCUGUUGCCUGAGCUGCUCACAAUACUUUCCAAAUUGGAACCAUUAGUGAAUUCCAAAAACAUGCAGCCUCUUCCCUUUUUCCAUCCAGGUCCUGAAUAAGAAUGUGUAAGUAAGAAUCAGACCCACAGUUGUGCCAACAGUGGAUCAGGCCGCACUUAUUAAUCCUUCACUUAUUAAUCCUGCCCGCUACCAGCAGCACUCAGAACAUUCUCAGUUUAAAGGAGUUUUUCUGCUAAUUUUAAACCCACGUACUCAACCUUCCAAACAUUUAUUGGGAAUUAUGCUAGGUUGCUGUGAGAGAUUCCAAAUCAUGUAAAAAACAAUCAUCGCCCUUCUCUUUCAGAGGCUUCUAGAAUCAUAGAGUACACGUAUACCGUGGAGAUAUUGCAGGUUUAAUUUCAGACCACUACAGCAAAGUGAAUAUCACAAUGCAGCAAGUCACACAGAUUGUUUAGUUUCCCAAUUCAUAUAAAAGUUAUGCUAACACUGUGCUGUCAUUGAUGUGCAACAGCAUUAUGUCUAAAAAAACGAUGUGCAUAAUACAUGGUUAAAUCAUACUUUAUUGCGGAAAAAUGCUAACCAUUUUUAGUGAGCUGUAAUCUUUCUUGCUGGUGGAGGGUCUUGCCUCCAUGUUGAUGAUUGUUGGUUGAUCAAAGUAGUGGCUGCUGAAAGCUGGGGUUCUUGUUGUUCAGUUGCUCAGUCAUGUCUGACUCUUUGCAACCCAAUGGAUUGUAGCAUGCCAGGCUUCCCUGUUCUUCACCAUCUCCCAGAGCAUGCUCAAACUCAUGUCCAUUGAGUUGGUGAU
rnacentral:lncRNA from 1 species